UACGGGGGGAGCAAGCGUUGUUCGGAUUUACUGGGCGUAAAGGGCGCGUAGGCGGCCUCCGCAAGUCGACUGUGAAAUCUCCGGGCUUAACCCGGAAAGGUCAGCCGAAACUGCGGGGCUAGAGUGCAGAAGGGGCAACUGGAAUUCUCGGUGUAGCGGUGAAAUGCGUAGAUAUCGAGAGGAACACCAGUGGCGAAGGCGAGUCCCUGGACAAAACCUGACACUGAGGCACGAAAGCUAGGGGAGCAAACAGG
rnacentral:rRNA from 1 species